AACGCGAAGAACCUUACCAGGUCUUGACAUCCAAAGAACCUUUACGAAAGUAAGGGGUGCCUUCGGGAGCUUUGAGACAGGUGGUGCAUGGUUGUCGUCAGCUCGUGUCGUGAGAUGUUGGGUUAAGUCCCGCAACGAGCGCAACCCUUGCUAUUAGUUGCUAACAUUUCGGAUGAGCACUCUAAUGGGACUGCCCGUGACAAGCGGGAGGAAGGUGGGGAUGACGUCAAAUCAUCAUGCCCUUUAUGAUCUGGGCUACACACGUGCUACAAUGGAUGGUACAGAGAGCAGCGAGGCCGCGAGGUGGAGCGAAUCUCAAAAAGCCAUUCUCAGUUCGGAUUGGAGUCUGCAACUCGACUCCAUGAAGUCGGAAUCGCUAGUAAUCGCGAAUCAGAACGUCGCGGUGAAUGCGUUCCCGGGUCUUGUACACACCG
rnacentral:rRNA from 1 species